rnacentral:rRNA from 1 species
GUUACCGGCCAUAGGGGCUGUGGAAACGCCCGCUCUCGUUCCGAACGCGGAAGCUAAGCACAGCCUCGUUUCAAACAGUAGUGUGGUCUUCGGCCACGCGAGGUUUGAAAGCUGGUAACC